AGUCAUUACCACUCCCUAAUCUCAAGUACCCAGGGACACAAACACUCUGCCUAGGAAAACCAGAGACCUUUGUUCACUUGUUUGUCUGCUGACCUUCCCUCCACUAGUGUCCUAUGACCCUGCCAAAUCCCCCUCGUGAGAAACACCCAAGAAUGAUCAAUAAAACAAAAACAAAACAAAACAAACAAACAAACAAAAACAAAACAAAACAAAACAAACAAACAAACAAAAAAAAAGCGAAAAUUGUGGGCAUUUGCAGUCUUUGCUGCCAUUAAGUCUUCUGGAUUUUUCUACAGGUUGACUCUAAAAGUUGAAAUCCAGUCAAAGAUAUUUACAUUAUUAUGGCCACAUGAACGUUGUUUACCCUCAGGCCAAACAAUGGGCUGGAAUUACACUUGCUUCUCCACACACUCCAUCCCAUAAUCCAUGUGUCACUCAAAGGACAAUGUGGCAAGCAAGCACUAAGGCCCUAAAUUGAUACUGUAUCAAUUAAAUACAAUUAUGUUGUGUUAUUAAAAAAAAAAAAAAAGAAAAUAAAUUAUAAAGCUCUUUGCUGUAGGUGAAGCCUACAGUAGGAAUGUAGGAAAAGCCAUUUGGAAGGCAGGACAAGGGUAUGGCUUCUUUUAAUAGCAUUUUUGCUAUUUUUCACAGUGGAAUUUAGUAAUGAUUAAUAAAUUAAUAUUUGUAAAGCAAUGAAAAACAUUCAGUUUUAAAAUUAUAUACUAUAUUAUACAUAAGUAUCAGUUUAGGGCAUGAUUUUGCCUUUUAUUUUUUCAACAAAGAAGAAAAGUGUCCUUCAGUGUAGAAAAAUAUCUAAUGUAUUUUCUAGUUCUUAGUUUUGAACUCAUAUUCUACUAAAAAUCUAAGAUAUUCUAGAAAAUGAUUUAAAUGUGAGAAUUACAAUAUCUGAUUUAUUAUUCACAGCAUAAUUUUUUAUUAAAUAAACUUUCAAUCCCAUUAUCAUUUUUAAACUACUUAGCUCCAAUCAAAAUGAAAAGGCCCAUUUCUUCAUCUUUAUUGAUGUCUUUCACGUUUCAGUGCCCUGGAAAGAGACUUUCUCUACUUUUAAAUGAAGAAUUCUGGGUUGCUCAUUAUAUCUGAAAGAUGGAUGUAAUGGAAAUGAGUGAUGGAACAGCUCUACAACAGCAACUCUGUGCUUCACUGUGGUUUGCUGCCCUGGAAUAAUAUCUGCUACUUUUGUCUUCACCAAAAUCAUGUGGUUCCCUCACCAGUGUCAUUUACUCGCCCAAACUUUAUCUUAGUGGUGGAGGUGGAUUAGUCCCCUGAACCUUGAGAACAUGUUUUUUUCUUAUGCAUCAUAAUUGGGAAGUUUUUCUUCAAAAUAUCACUAGGCUGAAAAUGAAGUUCUUUAAAAGACUUAUAGAAAGGUAGCGAAAAGAUGUUUUCUUUUUAAUGGAUGUCAAUGGAAAUGCAGUAUAUAUAGUAGGUCCUGAGAAGACUUAACAGAUAUGUGACAUGAAAAUAUGUUUCCUCUCAAAUCCAUGCUUGCCAGAACUUUAUUUUUAAAUAGCAGAAGCCUUGCAAGGAAAUGUGAAAGGCUGGUACUAUUAAAAAGGUCUGAGUUAUUAAAAAAAAUACAUAUGCAUUCCUACAUGAGACAUAUACCUUAAAGAAGGACUGCCUUCUAACGCAGAUUUUGUUUUUGUUUUUUUACUUGGCAUAACAGAGAAGUCAACGCGCUAAUCAAUAAGUGCCAUCUAUUUUUGAUUGACCUUAAUUUUCUGAAUGACUGCUUUUCUUCAAAUAUUUUAAGUCAUGACUAAAUUUCAUUUAAUAAGAAAUGUUUAGGUUAGUUUGUAAACAAGAAAUCAGAUAUUAUGAAUCCAAACCUGGAAUUACAUUUCAAUAAUGCUUAAUUUAUUUCAUAUUUUAGCCAACUGAUUUGUAAUUGUAUUAAGGCUCCCAGGAUAAACUCCAUGGUUAAUUUGGCCCUUUAAAGGUCAACAACAUAUAAGGGCAUAUGUACUUUAAUUCUACUUUAUUCUGAUAUUUCAUAAAACAAUAAUGUAUUAGUCUGUUCUCAUGCUGCUGAUAAAGAUAUACCCAAGACUGAGUAAUUUAUAAAGGAAAGAGAUUAAUUGACUCACAGUUCCACAUGGCUGGGGAGGCCUCACAAUCAUGGAGGAAGGCAACGAGGAGCAAAGUGAUGUCUUACAUGUAGGCAGGCAAGAGAGCUCAUGUGCUGGGGAACUCCGCUUUAUAAAGCCAUCAGAAAUUGUGAGACUUAUUCACUAUUAUGAGAACAGCACUGAAACGACCACACCCAUGAUUCAGUUACCUCCCACUGGGUACCUCCAACGACGUGUGGGAAUUAUGGGAGAUACAAUUCAAGAUUUGGGUGAGGACACAGCCAAAUCAUAUCAAAUGGCAUGAGAUUUAUUGUAAAGAAAUGGUCAGAUGUGAACACUUGGCUAGAACAAGUCUCAGCUGUGAGAGGAGAUGGGAAGGCCAACUAGGACAGGCAAAGAGGUAAUUAAAGAGUACCUGGAACGUCUGUGUACAGUGGAACUAGCAGAGCCAGAUGACUAGCAGUGUAAUGCAGUGGAAAGAGAAUUGGAUGAAUCUUCAGAACACUCAGGCUCCAUCUCAACUCACCUUACUUACUAAUUGAGUGACCUUGGGACAGAAAGGCCUCUGAACCUUGCCCUCCAUUCUUGCAGAACAGGGAUAAUAUUACCGUCUUCAUGGGACUGUUCUACAGAGAAAAUGAAAUAAAUCAUGAAAUACUAUUUGGACCUAGGGAAUAUUUAACAGUUGCAGAUGUCACUGCACAGCUGCCAGUCUUCGAUUUUGAGAAGUCAUGGAGGACAAUUCUCUGCAAGAUAGCAAGUGGAGUAUCAGCUUACACUGAUACCUGGGAAGCUAGCGGAAAAAAUCAUUAAGCAAUUAAUUAGCAACGAUUUAAAAGAACCAAGAAGUUGGAAAGCAACCCAUAUGGCUUUAAGAUCAAAUGGUACCUUUCCAAUUUUGUUGCCCUCUCUAAUUGAGGAACAGCCCAAAAGAUGAAUCUUAGAAUCACUUAGACAAGUUGAAAAAUUUUAUUUGAGGGGGAGGAGCCAAGAUGGCCGAAUAGGAACAACUCCGGUCUACAGCUCCCAGCCUGAGCGACGCAGAAGACGGUGAUUUCUGCAUUUCCAUCUGAGGUACAGGGUUCAUCUCACUAGGGAGUGCCAGACAGUGGGCGCAGGCCAGUGAGUGCGCGCACCGUGCGCGAGCCGAAGCAGGGCGAGGCAUUGCCUCACUUGGGAAGCGCGAGGGGUCAGGGAGUUCCCUUUCCGAGUCAAAGAAAGGGGUGACGGACGCACCUGGAAAAUCGGGUCACUCCCACCCGAAUACAGCGCUUUUCCGACGGGCUUAAAAAACGGCGCGCCACGAGAUUAUAUCCCACACCUGGCUUGGAGGGUCCUAUGCCCACGGAGUCUCGCUGAUUGCUAGCACUGCAGUCUGAGAUCAAACUGCAAGGUGGCAGCGA
rnacentral:lncRNA from 10 species